rnacentral:lncRNA from 1 species
AGGUUUCAGCUGGCUAGGGUGUCAUUCAAAGUGGUAAACGGGGCCACCUGAAUGAGAACCGAGGUCUCAAACCCCAGCCAGUGCGCUGCCCAUUACAGUAUGCUGAGCCUGAGCCACCCUGACGUGACCUUGAUGUGUAAUAACAUCGGUAACUGCCACCUAUGGGGAAAAACUCACCUCAGAAAGUCCCUCAGAGAGGCGGACUCACCACACAUUCGCACGCCCACCGCCUCCUAAUUGCAUCUACAGCAACGCUCACCUGUCUUCUAAAGGCCAUGCAAGAAAAGUCACACUUCUUAGAAGAGAUCACCACCGGCAUGUUAUGCAGAAUCCUGAGAAUCCCAGAACAGAUCUUAACCUUUGAAGUGUCAUGGUUGGGAGGGAUCUUAGAGAUUUCAGAAGACACAGACAGGGGCAUGAAUUGUCCCUGGGCCAAGUUUUUUAGCCAACAAUCUGAAGUAGUACCUAGGUCUCUGGACUCAUUCUUCGAUGUUCUCACCACAUAUCAUGAUAAAGACAUUGGAUAAACCCAAUGAUGCAAAGGCAUCACCCCCAGUAAACCUCUUGUCCUCUAACUCCAUCUUACCAUCUACUUCAUGGAGGACCUAACUGACACACCAGCCAAAGCCAGAUGGGGUCUCCAGAGGCAAGAGAAGAAAGGAGGUCCCUGCAGCAGACCAAGAAGCUGAACCCAAAGUCCAGCCAGUGAUCUCUUACACGACCAUAAAGCAAGCUUUCUUUGGAGAUAACAGGAAGUGGUAACGUGUCUUCUAUGCUAUUAAGAAUCAAGUAUCAUUUUUUUAAAAAAACUUGUGUCCAGAGCUAUAUAUCAUGUGACCUUCCUUUUCUAUCAAGGAAGAAUUUCUGAGACUCGUUCUUUGUAUAUGAGGGGAAUUUGGAUAAAGAAGCAGAAAUGAGUGUUCUAAUAGGGAGAUCCUCCUUGUUUCAUGUUUUAAGGCCAGCUCCCUUAGCUCCACACUUCAUGCUACAAGCUGUCACACAAAAUCAUAUCCUUGAGGCGCAGGAAACAUUCCCAACGUGUUACAUGAAAAGCACCAACCCCUCCAUCCCACCAGCAUAGCCCUUGCCCUUGUGUCCUUUUCUAGCCCAUUGCCAGCACCCAAGUUCUGUUCCUUUUGAUGAAAUGUCCUCAAAAAGGCUAGGAGAAUUAAAAGAUUAACUAUUCCUAUAAUUUCGAAUCUUCUCACAUCUAUGUCUUCUGACAUCCUACAACCCUUUGGUUAAAAGGCUCAGGUGAGGUGGGGAGAGAGACAAUAUUUCUCAAAUAUUUCUACAGCCUAUCUACCAGCGGUGCACCUUUGAUGCCUGUGACAGGGGAGAGAUGCCGGAUGUCUUUCAAACAUAUUUUCCCACCAACUCCAACCUCACAGGCCUGAAUGCCUUCAACGUUCCGAAGAGAGAGGAAGAAAUAUCCCCCUCCAGUUGAGAACAUUGUGGGUUAGCGUAAUUCGUCUCACUGAAAGGAGCUGCCCUUUGGGUGUUAGUUAAAAAAGUAACCACACAAACCAGCCACACAUU